rnacentral:rRNA from 1 species
CCUACGGGGGGCUGCAGUGGGGAAUCUUGCGCAAUGGGCGAAAGCCUGACGCAGCGACGCCGCGUGAGUGAUGAAGGCCUUCGGGUUGUAAAGCUCUGUGGGGAGAGACGAAUAAGUAGAAGCUAAUACCUUCUAUGAUGACGGUAUCUCCUUAGCAAGCACCGGCUAACUCUGUGCCAGCAGCCGCGGUAAGACAGAGAGUGCAAACGUUGUUCGGAAUGACGGGGCGAAAAGUCGGGUGUGAAAGUCCUGGGCUCAACCCAGGAAGUGCACUCGAAACUGCCGGGCUAGAGUACUGGAGAGGUUGGUGGAAUUCUCGGUGUAGAGGUGAAAUUCGUAGAUAUCGAGAGGAACACCGGUGGCGAAGGCGGCCAACUGGACAGAUACUGACGCUGAGACUCGAAAGCGUGGGGAGCAAACAGGAUUAGAUACCCGUGUAGUC